UUCCUACGGGGGGCUGCAGUGGGGAAUAUUGGACAAUGGGCGCAAGCCUGAUCCAGCCAUGCCGCGUGAGUGAUGAAGGUCUUAGGAUUGUAAAGCUCUUUCACCGAUGAAGAUAAUGACGGUAGUCGGAGAAGAAGCCCCGGCUAACUUCGUGCCAGCAGCCGCGGUAAUACGAAGGGGGCUAGCGUUGUUCGGAAUUACUGGGCGUAAAGCGCACGUAGGCGGAUAUUUAAGUCAGGGGUGAAAUCCCGCAGCUCAACUGCGGAACUGCCUUUGAUACUGGGUAUCUCGAGUAUGGAAGAGGUGAGUGGAAUUCCGAGUGUAGAGGUGAAAUUCGUAGAUAUUCGGAGGAACACCAGUGGCGAAGGCGGCUCACUGGUCCAUUACUGACGCUGAGGUGCGAAAGCGUGGGGAGCAAACAGGAUUAGAUACCCCGGUAGUCAC
rnacentral:rRNA from 1 species